rnacentral:rRNA from 1 species
AUUGAACGCUGGCGGCAGGCCUAACACAUGCAAGUCGAACGUGUGGCGGACGGGUGAGUAAUGUCUGGAAAUCCGCGCGAUGGGGGGAGAUCACUAGUGGACACGGGAUCAUACACCGCAUCACAGCAUAUGCGCCCAGAGGGGAUUAGCUAGUAGGUGGGGUAACGGCUCACCUAGGCGACGAUCCCUAGCUGGUCUGAGAGGAUGACCAGCCACACUGGAACUGAGACACGGUCCAGACUCCUACGGGAGGCAGCAGUGGGGAAUAUUGCACAAUGGGCGCAAGCCUGAUGCAGCCAUGCCGCGUGUAUGAAGAAGGCCUUCGGGUUGUAAAGUACUUUCAGCGAGGAGGCGUUACUCGCAGAAGAAGCACCGGCUAACUCCGUGCCAGCAGCCGCGGUAAUAC